rnacentral:rRNA from 1 species
UACGAAGGGAGCUAGCGUUACUCGGAAUCACUGGGCGUAAAGCGCAUGUAGGCGGAAUGCUAAGUCAGGGGUGAAAUCCCGGGGCUCAACCCCGGAAUUGCCUUUGAAACUGACAUUCUUGAGUAUGACAGAGGAUGGUGGAAUUUCCAGUGUAGAGGUGAAAUUCGUAGAUAUUGGAAAGAACACCGGUGGCGAAGGCGACCAUCUGGGUCAUAACUGACGCUGAGAUGCGAAAGCGUGGGGAGCGAACGGG